rnacentral:misc_RNA from 1 species
GAAAUGCGAUAAGUAAUGCGAAUUGCAGAAUUCAGUGAGUCAUCGAAUCUUUGAACGCACAUUGCGCCCUGUGGUAUUCCGCAGGGCAUGCCUGUUCGAGCGUCAUUUCAACCCUCAAGCCCUGCUUGGUGUUGGGCCACGCCCUCGCGGCCGGCCCCAAAGCCAGUGGCGGUGCCGCCCGGCUCUAAGCGUAGUACGUCUCUCGCUCUAGGGCCCGGCGGUCGCCUGCCAGAACCCAAACUCUUACGGUUGACCUCGGAUCAGGUAGGGAUACCCGCUGAACUUAA